GGAUGUGGGAGCAAUCUGGUUGUGACAUCAGUCACCCCAUUGAUUGCCAGGAUUAAUCUCGCUGAUCUAGCUGGCUAGGAAGGUCCUCUUUCUCCCUCACUGCUCCAUGCACACCUCUUACCCCUCCUCCACCCAACCCCCUCAGCCCCAGCAAAGCUGUGCUGAGUCAAAGAGGACAGCCACCCCCAGUUGAGAGAAGAGUGUCCUCAGUCAAGGGUAUACAAGUAGCUGCACUCACUUCCAAACAAGCCCUUAGAAUAAACAUUUGUAUAAAAAUACUUUUCAUGUGUUGUUUUAAUUCAAAUUAUCUCCUCUGUAGCAUUGGGUAGUCUUGUAAAUU
ensembl:misc_RNA 7SK 7SK RNA